UGGAGACUGCGUAUAACUUUGAUUACGUUCGUCUGGUGCAACCAGAGUUUAGACAUCUCGAUGAAGUUUGUUUACUUAACCACUCUCGCGUUAACAAUGCGUUUCACACAUUCGAGGCACUCGGCCAGCCAUCUAUCCGGGGAACUUUCCAAAAGGUCGUCUAGGGGUCCGAUUCUCGACACAUUGACGUUGACAUCCGACAGCUUCCACGGGGGUGGAGAAACCGGAACCGAUUAUACCUCGCGGCGUUCUCAUUGAACUUUCACCGCAGGCGCCGCGACAUUCGUCAUGUAUUGCCGUUUAGCACCGCAAGUUCGCACGCGUGGGGUUGAAUGAUCUUUCAAAGUUUAUUCCCACAGAGAAAACGGAAGGCAAAGAGAAAAUAUAAAUUGUAUGCAAGCUUCAAACCGUUUCUCCCUAAAGUACAGUUUCUUUUACAUGAGGAUUGAUUGGCAGAUCUACAUCACUCGAGAAUUUAAAAAACCAGUUUUAUCCUUAUAAAAGUUUAACACUGGAAAAUGAUGAUUAACUACUUAUUUUGUGUUUAUUAAAACCAUUAUUGUUCAAAUACUUUUAAUAUUCAAAAUAAGUCAUUUCCAGUAUUAAAAUGGUUAAUUAUUAAACUA
rnacentral:lncRNA from 1 species